AUUGAACGCUGGCGGCAGGCCUAACACAUGCAAGUCGAACGGAGUGGCGGACGGGUGAGUAAUGUCUGGGAAACUGCAUGAUGGCGGGGGAUAACUACUGGAAACGGUAGCUAAUACCGCAUACUAUCAGAUGAGCCUAGGUCGGAUUAGCUAGUUGGUGGUGUAAAGGCCUACCAAGGCGACGAUCCGUAACUGGUCUGAGAGGAUGAGCAGUCACACUGGAACGGAGACACGGUCCAGACGCCUACGGGAGGCAGCAGUGGGGAAUAUUGGACAAGGGGCGAAAGCCUGAUCCAGCCAUGCCGCGUGUGUGAAGAAGGUCUUCGGAUUGUAAAGCAGUUUAAGUUGGGAGGCGUUACCAACAGAAUAAGCACCGGCUAACUUCGUGUCAGCAGCCGCGGUAAUAC
rnacentral:rRNA from 1 species